AACAUACUCCCUCCAUAAUUCUUGACGCAAUUUUGUCUAGAUACGGAUGUAUCUAGACGCAUUUUAGUGCGUAGGUUCGUUCAUUUUAGAAAAAAAAUUGCGUCAAGAAUUAUGAAACGGAGGGAGUAUUAA
rnacentral:pre_miRNA from 1 species